AACGAACGCUGGCGGCAUGCCUAACACAUGCAAGUCGAACGAGACCUUCGGGUCUAGUGGCGCACGGGUGCGUAACGCGUGGGAACCUGCCCUAAGGUUCGGAAUAACUCCCCGAAAGGGGUGCUAAUACCGGAUAAUGUCUUCGGACCAAAGAUUUAUCGCCUUUGGAUGGGCCCGCGUUGGAUUAGCUAGUUGGUAGGGUAAAAGCCUACCAAGGCGACGAUCCAUAGCUGGUCUGAGAGGAUGAUCAGCCACGCUGGGACUGAGACACGGCCCAGACUCCUACGGGAGGCAGCAGUGGGGAAUAUUGGACAAUGGGCGAGAGCCUGAUCCAGCAAUGCCGCGUGAGUGAUGAAGGCCUUAGGGUUGUAAAGCUCUUUUACCCGUGAUGAUAAUGACAGUACCGGGAGAAUAAGCUCCGGCUAACUCCGUG
rnacentral:rRNA from 1 species